CCCAGCAGACAUAUCACCCUACAAUUCACAACUAGUAACCUACUGAAGCUCAGCAGGUGUGAGCCUGGUCAGUACCUGCAUGGGAGACCUCCUGGGAAAAAAAGGUUGCUGCUGUAU
rnacentral:rRNA from 1 species